AAUAUUGGUCAAUGGGUGCAAGCCUGAACCAGCCAUCCCGCGUGAAGGACGACUGCCCUAUGGGUUGUAAACUUCAUUUGUAUAGGGAUAAACCUACCCUCGUGAGGGUAGCUGAAGGUACUAUACGAAUAAGCACCGGCUAACUCCGUGCCAGCAGCCGCGGUAAUACGGAGGGUGCAAGCGUUAUCCGGAUUUAUUGGGUUUAAAGGGUCCGUAGGCGGACUUAUAAGUCAGUGUUGAAAGCCUGUCGCUUAACGAUAGAACUGCCAUUGAUACUGUACGUCUUGAGUAUAUUUGAGGUAGCUGGAAUAAGUAGUGUAGCGGUGAAAUGCAUAGAUAUUACUUAGAACACCAAUUGCGAAGGCAGGUUACCAAGAUAUAACUGACGCUGAGGGACGAAAGCGUGGGGAGCGAACA
rnacentral:rRNA from 1 species